GAUGAACGCUGGCGGCGUGCUUAACACAUGCAAGUCGAACGGUGAACACGGAGCUUGCUCUGUGGGAUCAGUGGCGAACGGGUGAGUAACACGUGAGCAACCUGCCCCUGACUCUGGGAUAAGCGCUGGAAACGGCGUCUAAUACUGGAUAUGUGACGUGACCGCAUGGUCUGCGUUUGGAAAGAUUUUUCGGUUGGGGAUGGGCUCGCGGCCUAUCAGCUUGUUGGUGAGGUAAUGGCUCACCAAGGCGUCGACGGGUAGCCGGCCUGAGAGGGUGUCCGGCCACACUGGGACUGAGACACGGCCCAGACUCCUACGGGAGGCAGCAGUGGGGAAUAUUGCACAAUGGGCGCAAGCCUGAUGCAGCAACGCCGCGUGAGGGAUGACGGCCUUCGGGUUGUAAACCUCUUUUAGCAGGGAAGAAGCGAAAGUGACGGUACCUGCAGAAAAAGCGCCGGCUAACUACGUG
rnacentral:rRNA from 1 species